rnacentral:lncRNA from 1 species
UGCUGAUGCCUUGAAUUUUUUUCUCCAAGUAUCUGUUCCCUCUGACCUUGCUUAUAAAGCGUUGACGAGGAAAUCACCGUCUUCAGCACAGCCCCGGAUUGACAAAUGUGUGGAAAUCCUCAUUAGAGUCACCGACUUUAAGGCUGUGAAAUCGUCUCUUCCCAGCGCCGCUAUUUGCAGUGGGAGCACGUGCAGGCUGUGAGCUCCGAGCCCUGUCGUUCAGCAGCCCCACGGCUUUGCUCGGGAGCGGAGGUGUUUAGGCAGUUCACAAAGCUCCCAUCCAUUCUGCAGACAGAUGUGUGUGCCACAGCCACCCUCUGCACAUGCCCGUAAUAGAAGCCAUUAGCUCCGCCGUUCCCCGCGCGCUGCAGCGCAUGGCGGGGAUGCAACGCGUUCCUAAUGCAUGAAGUGUGGACUGGCUAGGACACAAAUAGCGUUGCAGAUUACCAGAGCUAUUUAUCAUUUUAAUGGAACGCCGCGGAAUAUUACAUUGCGCCAUGUGUUUAAAUUGAUAAAUUGUAUUAGGAAAACAUCGGAUGGGAUUUUUAAUGGUAAGUGGAGCUUUAGUAGAUAUAUUUUCUCAUUAACAGACUAACUGCACGCAGACGGCAUGGGGCUGGAAUGGUAAGGAUUUGGGGAUAAGCUAUAUUUAUGACUUAUUUGACUAAUUAAGGCAUAAUUUUAUCGCAAAGUUUUUCCCAGACUUUGCUGAGCGGGAUGAAGGAGGAAAACUUACCCCAGUGCAGUUACUCUACAACAUCAGUUGCCAUAACAACUUCAUGCAAUACUAUAUUUUCACUCGAAAUUCCUUUUAAGACUCAGUUGCUGUAAUAAUUUGUUUCAGCUGCUAAAAGGCAUGUUUCUCUUUGUGGUGGUUUCAAGGCUCUCAUUACAGUAACAAAAAAGUGGCUGUGUUAAUAUAGGCUCUUUU